rnacentral:lncRNA from 1 species
GCCAGGCAUGGUGGCUCACGCCUGUAAUCCCAGCACUUUCGGAAGUCGAGGUGGAUGUAUCACUUGAGGCCAGGAGUUCAAGACCGGCCUAACAUGGUGAAAACCCAUCUCUGCUAAAAACACAAAACGUAGCCGGGUGUGGUGGCACAUGUUUGUAGUGCCAGCUACUCAGGAGGCUGAGGCAGGAGAAUCGCUUGAACCUGGGAAGCGAAAGUGGCAGUGAGCUGAGAUUGCACUCCAGCCUGGGCAUCGUUGUGAGACUCUAUCUUAAAAAAAAACACACACACACACAAAAACAGGAUAUAGAACAAAGAUAUUCACGGUCAAAAAUUUACCCUGCUAACAAAAGGAACUGAAGUUUUCAGGAAUCUAUGUAACUAACCAGUUACCAACCACAUUUUGUGUGUGUGUGUGUGGAAAUGUAUUCAUUGUCUAUAGCUGAAAUUGAAGAGAAAUUUUUCUUUGUUUUCUUCCUUGGUAGCUACCAUUCUAAAAGCUAGAUGGACUGUAUGAAAUCACUCUGCCAUAAAAACACACACCUGAGAAAAUUUCUAAACUCACUCUGAGAAAGAAAAAAACAGCACUGAAGAUGAGUUUUCAUCCCAGGGAACAGAAAGACAAAAGGUCAAGAUGUGCUUCAAAAAGCUGGUGAGGGGCAUUGGGUCAGGAAAGGCCAGGCUGUCUAAGCAUUCAGAGACCCCCUGUGCAACUGUCCUUGCAAUUAGGAGCCAGGCCCCAAAAACCUUCCCACUGCGUGUGUCUUUGACCUGUGCUAGGUCCUGCUGUUGAUUAGUGUUCCCUACUGAGCAGUUAACCUAUGGUUUGAGUAUUUACACCCAGGAGAAUGUUGCAGGCCAGCCCUCAGUCAACUUAAAAUAAUCAAAAAGGUUAAAAUGUAAUCUGAAAUACAUUUACUCAAGGUCAGAUAUUGAGGAUGACCACCAGGAAAACAAAUUUAAGUUGCCCUGGAUAUAUAUUUCAAUUAGCAGCCAUUCAAAGCAAGUCUUUUCAAAAAAAUGAGAAGGCAGUUCCUAAGUUGUUAACCAAGAAUUCAUAUUUAAAUGCAUAAGCUAUUGAUUGGCUAUAUAUAUUCUUUUGUUUUACAAAUUCCAGAAAUAAUGGAUGAGACUGCUAGUCAGAAACAAAAUGUCUAUAAACAAUUGCCCCUAAUCCCAGCAUUCUGGGAGGCCUAAGUGGGCGGAUCACCUGAGGCCAGCAAUUGGAGACCAGCCUGGUCAAAAUGGUAAAACCCCAUCUCUACUAAAUAUACAAAAAUUAGCUGGGUGUGGUUUCAUGUGCCUGUAAUCCCAGCUACUUGUGAGGCUGAGACAGAAGAAUCAUUUGAACUCAGGAGGCAGAGGUUGUAAUGAACCAAGAUCAUGCCACUGCAGUCCAGCCUGGGUGACAAAGUGAGACUUCAUCUCAAACAAACACACAAAAAAAGAAUUUCCCCUGUGUAAAGUUCCACACUUUCAUCUCCCUGGUCUUGAUAAAUUGUGCAGACCUUACAGAGCUGAGACUGCUCUGAGCUAUUUUUAUUUUCACCUCCUUGCUCCGGACACAUGAACUAUUAACAAUAAAAAGAAUUUACAUAAGAAUCUUGGCAAGCCACAAGAAUAAUGCCAGGAGGUGACCUCCAGGAACCUGGCUGUCACCUUCUUUUCCCACCUUACCCUCCACUCCUCUUACACACACACACCCUGGAUCACAAGACCAACAAAACCACUCCAUCAGCCACAGACAGAGAAGCCACAGAAGAACCCAGAACCACUGCAUGGCCCCCUUGGACCACCCUAGAAUGAACAGCCAUUGUUAACAUUCAGGAGCCGUUUAUUCCCAUCUUCACACUACACUAAAUAACUUUCAAGAGUCACAAGAUAAACUGGCUGAAAGCUGAUGCUUGGAACAUCCCACAUCCCCCAGGAGCUCAGUGCUGCAGUCUCAGGUACAAACCUGCCCAUCAGCCAUUCAAAUGAAACAAUUGUUAUCAAGAGAGCAGAGUCCCUGCAAUGGUCCAUUAAUUUAGAAAGUUUAUUUUGCCACAGUUAAGUAGGAGCCUGUGACACAGCCUCAGGAGGUCCUGAUGAAAUGUUCCCAGGGUGGUUGGGGUACAGUUUCUUAUACAUUUUAGAAAGUCAUGAGACAUCAAUCAAUAUGUUUAAGAUGUACAUUGGUUUAGUCAGGUAUGAUGGGAAAACUUGAGGUUGGGGCUUCUGCAUCACAAGUAGAUAAGAGAAAAAAGAAUAAAUGUAUUUGAGCCCUUGAUAAGUCUCCCACUGAGUACACAAUUUAGUCUGGCUCAGUGAAUCUGCAUUUUGAUAUUAACAAUAGAGCAGAGAAAGUAAGCAGAUAUGUAUUUGUCUCAGGUGAGCCUCAGAGGGAUGACUUUGAGUUCUGUCUGUCGUCUACUCAGUAGAAAUAUUCUUGUCAGCAAAUUGUGAGGUAGGUGUAUAGCUUUUUUAUCUGCAUAGCUAUCUUAUUUAAGAAUAAAAUAGAAGACAGCUUUGCUUGACAUAGUUUCCAGCUUGACUUUUCUAUUGGAUUAGUAAUUUUGACAUCCUGAGAUUUAUUUUUCUUUCACAGCGGGGAACUUUUGAUUAUCAAGUGUAUCUGUUUAAACUUGACAAUAAAACAAUGUAUCUAUUCAGAAGUAACAAAUAGAGGU